UAGCAUAUCAAUAAGCGGAGGAAAAGAAACCAACAGGGAUUGCCCUAGUAACGGCGAGUGAAGCGGCAACAGCUCAAAUUUGAAAUCUGGCUUCCUUGGAGGUCCGAGUUGUAAUUUGCAGAGGGCGCUUUGGCGUUGGUAGCGGUCUAAGUUCCUUGGAACAGGACGUCACAGAGGGUGAGAAUCCCGUACGUGGUCGCCUGCCUUCGCCGUGUAAAGCCCCUUCGACGAGUCGAGUUGUUUGGGAAUGCAGCUCUAAAUGGGAGGUAAAUUUCUUCUAAAGCUAAAUACUGGCCAGAGACCGAUAGCGCACAAGUAGAGUGAUCGAAAGAUGAAAAGCACUUUGGAAAGAGAGUCAAACAGCACGUGAAAUUGUUGAAAGGGAAGCGCUUGCCGCCAGACGUGCCCGUGGUGGUUCUCCUCCGCGGGCAGGCCAGCAUCAGUUUGGGCGAUCGGAUAAUGGCCUCUGUCAUGUAUCUUCCUUCGGGAUGACCUUAUAGGGGAGGCGUAAUGCGAUCAGUCUGGACUGAGGUCCGCGCAUCUGCUAGGAUGCUGGCGUAAUGGCUGUAAGCGGCCCGUCUUGAAACACGGACCAAGGAGUCUAACAUCUAUGCGAGUGUUUGGGUGUCAAGCCCGAGCGCGCAAUGAAAGUGAACGGAGGUGGGAACCUUCGGGUGCACCAUCGACCGAUCCUGAAGUCUUCGGAUGGAUUUGAGUAAGAGCAUGGCUGUUGGGACCCGAAAGAUGGUGAACUAUGCUUGAAUAGGGUGAAGCCAGAGGAAACUCUGGUGGAGGCUCGCAGCGGUUCUGACGUGCAAAUCGAUCGUCAAAUUUGGGCAUAGGGGCGAAAGACUAAUCGAACUAUCUAGUAGCUGGUUCCU
rnacentral:rRNA from 2 species